rnacentral:rRNA from 1 species
AAUUGGAGGGCAAGUCUGGUGCCAGCAGCCGCGGUAAUUCCAGCUCCAAUAGCGUAUAUUAAAGUUGUUGCAGUUAAAAAGCUCGUAGUUGAAUUUCGGGAUCAGUAGGUUGGUCAUGCCUAUGGUAUGUACUGGCUUUACUGGUUCCUCCUUCUUGAUGAUCUGUAAUGUCAUUAAUUUGGUGUUGCAGGGAGUCAGGACUGUUACUUUGAAAAAAUUAGAGUGUUUAAAGCAGGCAUACGCUUGAAUACAUUAGCAUGGAAUAAUGAAAUAGGACGUUCGAUCCUAUUUUGUUGGUUUCUAGGAUUGACGUAAUGAUUAAUAGGGAUAGUUGGGGGCAUUAGUAUUCAAUUGUCAGAGGUGAAAUUCUUGGAUUUAUUGAAGACUAACUACUGCGAAAGCAUUUGCCAAGGAUGUUUUCAUUAAUCAAGAACGAAAGUUAGGGGAUCGAAGACGAUCAGAUACCGUCGUAGUCUUAACCAUAAACUAUGCCGACUAGGGAUCGGAUGAUGUUAUUUUUAAUGACUCAUUCGGCGCCUUACGGGAAACCAAAGUGU